GGAGAAGGGGCGUUUUUUCCAGAAUACCGGAAGGAUUAAUUUUCUCCUUCCCUUUCUCCAGGGUUGACAUAUUUUUUUAUGCGUGGAACAUACCUGCAGAAGGAGCAGUCCCCGCAUGGGGCUGAUCCACGAUAUCUCUCAGCUUUUCUGCCACAUUUGGCUCCUUCUUCCAUGAGCUCGAUUGUAUGCUUUCCUCAGAGAUCUUUUGGGGUAACCCCUUUUACUGAACCUUUGAAGCAGUUGUUGACUCUCCCGAGAAAAAGGAGGCUUCAUCCGAACAGUUACGACGUGCUCUCAGAUAUUGUCCUAUGGGAAUCCCUUUCUUAAGGGGAACUGGAUGCCAACUGUCCCAAUGCAGGGUUUCCAGGGCUUCUUGUUCCUGGGUGUUCAGAUUUGGUUCGAUAUGUUCCUUCCUCAUCUGCAAUAAUUUGAUGUCCUGUGUGACCAGCUGUACAAAGGUCUCUAUUUCAUUAAAUUGUGUGAAUUGUGGUGUGGUUCUAGAUCUAGGUUUCAAGGUCGAGA